AUUGAACGCUGGCGGCAGGCCUAACACAUGCAAGUCGAGCGAGCGGCGGACGGGUGAGUAAUGUCUGGGAAACUGCCUGAUGGAGGGGGAUAACUACUGGAAACGGUAGCUAAUACCGCAUACCAUCAGAUGUGCCCAGAUGGGAUUAGCUAGUAGGUGUGGUAACGGCUCACCUAGGCGACGAGCCCUAGCUGGUCUGAGAGGAUGACCAGCCAGACUGUAACUGAGACACGUUCCAGACUCCUACGGGAGGCAGCAGUGGGGAAUAUUUCACAAUGGGGGCAAGCCUGAUGCAGACAUGCCGCGUGUGUGAAGAAGGCCUUCGGGUUGUAAAGCACUUUCAGCGGGGAGGCGUUACCCGCAGAAGAAGCACCGGCUAACUCCGUGCCAGCCGCCGCGGUAAUUC
rnacentral:rRNA from 1 species